CGGAGGCGGCGGCGAUUUACGAAAAACAGCCGCUGCGGCCCCGUGAUCUCCAGGAACCCGGAACCACAAUGUUGAAGCUCUGUAGCCUGUCGGGACCAGGCCGGCGCCCACAUCCCGGAAAUGAUUGGCAUACCAAAACAUGAUCUUCUGCCUGUAAAAAUCACAGAUUAAGAAUCAUCUGCAUGCAGCCAUAGGGACAAAUCCAGGGAUAAUCUGGACAAUCUACUUCUUCAUGGAUCUGAAAAUAUAUUGGAAGAUGGUGAUGAUGACAGUUAACAAGCACAACAAAGAGAUUUGUCAGUUAGUGAAAACAGGCAGCAUACAAAUGAUUGUAAAUAAAUGUUUAUUUACCACUGCUCAUUUAAAGUCCUAAUAGAAUCAAUUACAGGCACAGUCCACAAGGACAGUCCUUAGGGAGAUUACUGACAUUAUCGGAAGUAAUACAGUUGAAUAACUACUUUUUUCAAAAUGUUCUGCUCCAGUUCCGGAUUUCCAAAGAUAUUUACACACAUCAGCGGUCCUUAUCAAAUUUAAUAAGUAGCAAGAAUAAACAAGACCGGCAAAGGUUGGCAACCAGCCCAGAAAAUAAGAUAUGAUAAAUCAAAAUACUCUGAUAAUCAAUACGAGUUGUUUCCAGCAAGAAAGUACUAGCUGUGUGCAACUUAAAUAGGCUAAGGGAGUGGCCAAUUAUCCUCAAGCCCUACUCUUGAGUAGACCUCCUCCUCCUGAGUAGCCACUCCUGCCUUUUGGCAACCCUGCAUGCUUGAGCAUUGAGGAGAGGCUUCUCCACUUCGCUCUCUCCACUUGAAGGAACCUCUGGAGGUUCUGAAGGCCCUGGCUGGGUCUCUGCCUCUGGCACCACAUCCUCUUCAGCCUCCUCGCUGUCCAACACGAGUGCUGGCUGCGCAGGCUGCUGGCGCGACACCACACCAGCCUCCUCUUCGUCGGGAUCAGCCACGAUUCGCGCAGGCCGUUGGCGGGCCACAACACAAAAGUUCUAUCUGUGUUUAUUGAACUUGCCUAAUGGACAAUAUCAGAAUGCGGCAAUGUGGAGUCUCUGUUCAUGCUCCAGCUAAUCAGCUAUGUCUUCUACCUAGAUAUUCCAUUUCCUUCCCUCCCAAAUAUAGUUAGCAUAUAAUGGUGACUGGGUGUGUGCAAAUUCCCUCCCACCCUGCUCAAACACCUGCACAACUACAACACACCGCUAGUUUGGUGGUGCAUUUUGGCUAUAUAAAAAUAAGCUGUCAAGAGAAUUGAUAUCACAAUUAAUAUAUUAAAGAUAGACAAUUUAAAACUGCUAAUCUUUCAUCAUUAUAUUACUGUAAUGGUCUGUGAGAAUAAACUUGGGGAGAGGAGGAGGAGGAAGAGCUGCAAUAGUUAGACAAGUCAGUAGUUAAACAAGAGCUAUCUCAGCUCACUGAAGGAAUGAACGUGUGGGAAGUGACUCAGAAGGGACACUCAAUAGUUCUCUGGAAAAUAACAGCAAGGAAGGGAAGAAGAGGUUUCAGAUUUGCAAA